rnacentral:lncRNA from 1 species
AAAAUAAAUUCAAAGAGCAUGACAAAAAACAUUUAGUGGGUUGCCUCCCACACAUUACUCUAUUUUACGUCGUUAGCUCGACAACUCAGAAGUGUAAGCACUUAUGGUGAUUCUUUCAAGAAUGAUUCCUCGGUCAGAAUAAUCUUCAGUUCCCAUGGCCACUUAUCAAGCCAUCUCUCAUAUCCCUCGCCUUUUCUUUUCUUUAUUAUGUAGGGGGUUCAUUCUUCAGAACGUGAGGUGGUGGUUCUGGCUCUAUCAUGAUUAUCAUGCUUUC